UACGGAGGGUGCGAGCGUUGUCCGGAUUUACUGGGCGUAAAGCGCACGUAGGCAGAUCGUUAAGUCGGGGGUGAAAUCCUGGAGCUCAACUCCAGAACUGCCUUCGAUACUGGCGAUCUUGAGUCCGGAAGAGGUGAGUGGAACUCCUAGUGUAGAGGUGGAAUUCGUAGAUAUUAGGAAGAACACCAGUGGCGAAGGCGGCUCACUGGUCCGGUACUGACGCUGAGGUGCGAAAGCGUGGGGAGCAAACAGG
rnacentral:rRNA from 1 species